GGAGAAGUACCCAAGUGGUUAUAAGGGGACGCACUCGAAAUGCGUUAGGAUGGGCAACUGUUGCGUGAGUUCGAAUCUCACCUUCUCCGCCA
rnacentral:tRNA from 1 species